CUUCCUCUCUACUCUCUAUAUCUGCUAUUUCUCGCUAGAAGCAUCUGUGACGCUAACAUUUAGUAUCAGAGGAGGAUUUCAUGGAGGAGGUGAUGCAGGGUAUUCUCGACACGCUGGCGCGCACGGAGGCACGCUUGACCGAGGCGCUGGCUGGUCGCUGCGGCGAGCAGUCCGCACGCGAGCGCAAUUCCUCCUUCGACGGAUCCGCGCCUCCUUCUUCCGUCAUCAACGCACAGUACCGCGACGAGCAGACUGCCACAGUGCUCGCGUUCCUAGGGUCCGACGAGAUGUCUUCGUCGACCACGCUCCUCGCCGGCUCGGUAUCCGACCGCUACAUCCCGCCGCUCUACGACGACGACCGCUACACCACGCCACAGCCGUUUGUCGAUACUCUCGCCAACCCCGACGACGACCUCCUCCAGGAGCUCGACGUGUUGGACGAGGACGCCGCGAGCGCCGACGUGGCUGACGACGAUUCAGACGCUAUACCCGUCCAUGCGCCGCUCGACCCCGACGCGACGAUCGAGUCAAACGCCGACAGCAGCGGAUCACCGCACUACCCGUGCCUCCCAAGGGCGCGGUGUUGUUCCGUCGGGACCCAGACGAGAAGGUCCACGACGGGCUCAUCGGCGGGACGGAGUUGCCCGGCGAAGUCCGCCGUCUCCGUUUCUCCUUGCCGUCACCAGACCUGGCGAUGAACCUCGCGCUCGUCCCCAACACCGACGCAGAGGAGGAGGAGGUUCUCACCAUUACGCCCACCAAGUGUUCGAGAAUGGGCCUCAACAACAGCACCUACUCCAUCCCCAACCUUCCCGUGGUCUGCAUCAUGGGUGGGCCCAACUCAGACGACUACGACUCCAACUAUGCCCUGCACCACACCAUCGGCCUUCCAGACUUUUCCCAGGAGCUCUGGUGCUUCCAGAUGGUCACCUGCUACCAGGCCUUCAUCCACAACCUGGACGACGCACAUGAGCGGAUUGGCACGUCCAUCGCGACGAUGUUGAGGGUUCGUGGGAUGAGAGUUGCUGACACGCGCACGCGUGCUGGGUUGGGCCGCCGUGCGCGUCUCGCCUCCGCCGCGGCGGUGCUCAACGCAUGCGAUCCUGACGAAGCUGCCAUAGAGGCCGGGCUUCAGUCCGCCCUUCCCGAGCCUCCCUCCGAGCAGGACGCCGUCAUCGUGCUCAACAUGGCUAUCGCCACCAGGCCAGAGAUUGUCGUGCUCGCUCGCCGCUGGUUCCUAGGAAACGCCGAGGUCCAGAAGAAGGUCAUCCUCUACAACGUCGAGCUCAAGCUGCUGCGCAAGAAACAGCACUGGUGCGAGACCGAGGCGCCAUGGGCCAAGAUGCUGCGGCACGGCAUGCAGCCCGACAACACCAUCUUCUCGACCAUCAACAGCUGCGCGUGCGCCUACGGCCUCCUGAGCAAGGUUGUCAAGUGGUUCGACAAGAUGUCGGGGUUUGGGUGCUCGCCGGACUGGCUCACAUACUCUGCGGUGAUCGACACGUACGACCACACUGGGAACUUCGAGGCGGCCCUCCGGCGCGCUCGCGCAGAGAAGUGGCAGCUCGACCCUGUGCUCUGUUGUACUGUGAACGAGGUCCACUCAACCAGCGGCAACUUCAACCGUGCACUCAACUUAUUCAAGGAAAUGAAGGCAACCGGUGUGAACCCAAACCUGGUCAUGUGCAAUACAAGGUUGUAUGUCAUGGGCCACGCAUUGCAACCUUGGGUGGUGAAGAGCAUCCACAGGGAGAUGAUUGACAAGCAGGUGCAGCACAACAAGGUGACCUACUGUUGUCUCCUGCAUGCAUACACCAGGGCACACUACGAUGAGGAUGCCAUGGCUGUGUACCGGCUGAUGAAGGAUGAAGCAAUGGACGUGAUGCUCUACAACAUGCUUCUAUCCAGGUACGUCGACAUUGGCUAUGUGGACGAGGCUGAGGAGAUCUUCAGAGACAUGAAGGCGUCCAUGGAUGAUCGUUCUAAGCCUGAUAAGUGGAGCUACUCAUCGAUGCUGAGGCAGUAUUCAUCAACUGCCAACGUCCUUGGUGUAGAGGGCAUACUGAAUGAAAUGGUGGAAGAACUGGGCAAGGUGAUCAGCUGCGUUGAGACGGACAAUCACCAGCUUGGUUCCAUAGUAAAGCCCCUGGUUCAUGACUUAGCAGACUUAGCAGGACUUGCUCACAGUGGAGGAUUCAAGCAACCGUGGCCUCCACCUAUGGAGUUUGAGUGCUUAGACUGUGCAUGGUCUCCGGCAACUUGGCGAUCAUGGUCAGCGGCUUGGGGGCAAGCCGCAUUUUAAGCGGUGGGGAAUGUUAGGAGUUGCUGCCAUGUGGGGCCAUUGCCAGGGGGCAAGUGGAUUUCUACAUCUAUAAAAGGACAGUUGUAUGGGCUAAUAGGGAUAUCAAUUACCAAUUAUCAGAAUACAAACACUAUCAUCGUCUAUUCUCUCGUCUUCUUCCUCUCGUCUUCUUCCUUCUUUUACCCCUCUCCACGCUACAGCUAGCUUCCUCUCUACUCUCUAUAUCUGCUAUUUCUCGCUAGAAGCAUCUGUGACGCUAACAUUUGGUUGCGACGCAAGUUGCUGCUAGUUUUCAGAUCAACCAUUUUUGCUUGCGAUCACCUGUUUUGAAUCAAAUUACUUGUAAUAAUAAUAAUAAAGGGCUCUUUGAUGUG